rnacentral:piRNA from 1 species
UCCAGGAAGCUGAUAAACUGACUCUGGGCCA